ACUCCCCUUCCCCUCACUCCCUCUCCUCUCUCCUCCCCAGGAAGGUGGUGAGGCGGGUGAGCCUAACCCAGCGCACCGACCUGUACCGCAAGCAGCACGCCCAGGAGGCCAUCGUGUGGCAACAGCCGCCGCCCACCAGCCCGGAGCCGCCUGAGGACAACGAUGACCGCCAGACAGGCGCAGAGCUCAGGCCGCCGCCCCCGGAGGAGGACAACCCCGAAGUGGUCAGGCCGCACAAUGGCCGAGUAGGGGGCUCCCCAGUGCGGCAUCUGUACUCCAAGCGACUAGACCGGAGUGUCUCCUACCAGCUGAGCCCCCUGGACAGCACCACCCCCCACACCCUGGUCCACGACAAGGCCCACCACACCCUGGCUGACCUGAAGCGCCAGCGAGCUGCUGCCAAGCUGCAGCGACCCCCACCUGAGGGGCCCGAGAGCCCUGAGACAGCUGAGCCUGGCCUGCCUGGUGACACGGUGACCCCCCAGCCUGACUGUGGCUUCAGGGCAGGCGGGGACCCACCCCUGCUCAAGCUCACAGCCCCGGCGGUGGAGGCUCCAGUGGAGAGGAGGCCGUGCUGCCUGCUCAUGUGAGGCUGUUGCUCAGCGUGCAGGGGCCCUGUGGCGGGCACAGCCCACGGCUGCCUCCCCAUGGUGCGUGCCCUGGUGCUACGGGUGCAGCACGGAAACCCCGGCUUCUACUGUACAGGACACUGGCCCCUCUCAGGUCAGAAGACAUGCCUGGAGGGAUGUCUGGCUGCAAAGACUAUUUUUAUCCUGCAACUCUUGAUAAAGGGCUGUUUUGCCAUGG
rnacentral:sRNA from 1 species